CUUUGAAGGAUGUAGAUGGGUACUUCUUCCCUCACAGCUGUCUUUCCCGUGCUGUCACCCCAGAGAAGGUGUUCUUGGUUGCUCACAUGUUCUGGCAACUGCUCCUCACUCCUGCCGGACUCUUUCGUUCUUUCUUGGUCACACUGCUGCACUGAGGAUUCCCAGGCCUCUGCUUGCUGCCAGCCUGAAGACCAGGUCUAUGCUCAGAAGGUUGGAAAUUUGGGGCAAGGAAGGGAGGUAACCAUUUCCUGUCCCUGACCUGCCUGCCCACAUCCCCUCACCUGACAGGGCUCUUAAGGGCUGAGGCAUGUGCGGUAAGAGGGAAAGAGGAGGGGCAGUAUGGGAAGGGGGUGCAUCAGUGCCCCCCAUAGACAAAUAGGGGCUUGCCUGGGGAUGUGGUUCUAUCAGUCUUUGGAAGAGAAGGAAAGGUGAGAGGGGCCUCAGCCAGGAAGGAGGGAAG
rnacentral:lncRNA from 1 species